AUAUAAACACUGACGAGUCCUAAAUAGGACGAAACGCGCGUCCUAGAU
rfam:Schistosoma mansoni strain Puerto Rico chromosome 2, complete genome